AAGUCAUCAACCAAGUGACCGAUUGUUCUUCUUCCUUCUAAUUCUUUGAUUCUCGAUUGUUGGCAAAAAAAAAACAGCGAUUUUUUGUAACAUGUAGGCCCGUGAAUCAUGUUUCUGCUACAACUGCUUGUCUUGAAGGUUUCAUUUCUGUUGGAGCUCACAACACCAACAUAUCUAGUCAAGGAUAUGGUCGUGGUUGACGAGUCAAGGAGAUUAUAAAGUUACGACUAGGACAACUUCUACUGCAGUAUAAGGUGAGUACAAAAGACUCCAAAAUUUUGGUUCGCUUAGAGUCUCACACUGGUGAAGCCGCCCCGAGGUCUGCGUUGAAGAGCCUCCAAGACCAAUGCUUCAAAUCACAUGAUGCAGUCAUGUUCGACUGUAGAAAAAAGGCUUUGAUUCAUAUGUGAUAAGAAGCAACAAAUAAAAACACCCUGAAGCACCACAACCCGAACAAACAACAUUUACCGGAUCGAUUCAAACCCUUCAAUCAACGAAUCUUUAUUUUUCAGAAUUUGUUGCAGUCGUUCCUUCCCUGUUGCGGCGGUGGGGGUGGGAAAAGUGGUGGAUGGUGUCCGGGGAGAAAACUGGGAACAUUAUUGUUCCAAGGAUCAUAUUGGAUUAGGAAAGGGCGAGGGAUAGCUACCUCUUUGCCAAGAGAGAGUAGAGGUUCCAUACAUUGGUUGUGUCACCAUUCCAAAAUACAUCUUGACGGAGAUGAAAGCUUCAAUCGAAGAUGGGAGAAAACGAAGAGGACGAUUAAACUAGACAAGAGGAAGAUUGUAAUGUUUCUCACAUAGGGUUAGGUAGAAGUUGAAGUAAGCGGUGGAUUACAUUGGAAGAUGAGAACGGUAAUCAGCUCUAAACCACUGGUGGUAUUGAAGCCAAGCUAAACCACCAAACCGACAGCUCCAAACCAGACACUGUAGCUAAGCACAUUUAAAAUUUAUUGUAUGAGUAAUUAUUGAAAAUUAGAUUUUUAUAUCAAUUAAAGUAUCAAAUAAAUCGGAUAAACUAAUUAACCGCUUUUAA